ACAAUGUAAAAGAAUUUUUAUGACAGGAACCGGCUCAGAAAUCCCAUAAUCAAAACCAUCUACUAGAGGAAACUCAGAAAUCCCAUAAUCAAAACCAUCUACUAGACGAAACAACAGCACACUCACAUCUUAAAAUAAAAAUUCCAUUUCCCACAAAUUUGCCGUAAUUAAACUGAAGAAAGAAAAUUAGGAAGAGAGAGGAAAAACGAAUCAAUAGGGAGAGAAAGAACUAAAAUCGAGUCUACCGGCAUCUCCGUCAUCUUCCUCUUCGUCGUUAUCAUCACUUGCAACAGCUGCGAUGUCGUCAAAAAACUCAGAACCACGUCGACCAUUGCGUUUUCUCAAACUGUAAUCAUCUCCAAGCACAUCAUCAAUCAAUUCUGAUCUCUUCUGUUUCUUCUUUAUCCUUCCACCAUCAUAGUCCUCUUCAUCUAUUUCAUAAAAUCUGGUCAUGGCUAUAAAUCCGAAGUUCACUGUAGACGAAUUAGGUUUAGGAACAUAGAAAUGCAAAGGGGAGAGCACAAAUAACUUAUGAAUGCAUUAAUGAUGUACUUCUAAAUGCAUUAAUAUCUCAUCUUGAUGAUAUGAGUUCGGAAUAUCGCCUCUCUAAUAUCUCAUCUUGAUGAUAUGAGUUCGGAAUAUCGCCUCUCUAAUGGAUACGAUUCUCUAAUAGAAAAAAAACCAAUGAAGAAAUUAUCAAGAAAAUCUUAGCACCAAAACGUAAGGAUCUACCUGCUACAUAAUGAAGAUGGUACAUGAAAGACAUGAAUGGGAACACCCAAUAUUCAAAUUUCGUCUACUUACCUCAAAGAGAGCCUUUGAGGAAUGCAGAUUCUCCUGUGCCCUCUCUAUGUA
rnacentral:lncRNA from 1 species